CCCUCCCCUAAAUCACUCCAAAAAAAACAAUCCCCAAUUCUACACAAGUGUUUCUACACUAACAAAGCAACAGCUCCUUAACGAAUUCCCAACUUUACACGAGCUCGUCUCUCGAGGUUAAAUGUUAUUACUUGGUAAGAUUCCGGACCUCGCCAAGUGUUUUGAAAACCCGCAACGCUCGCAAAGGUGGAUAGUGAGAAUAAUAAGUGAAGAGACAGACUUGUCCAAAACGCCCACCACGAAGGUGCAUAGUGAGAAGAGUAAGUCAAGAGAUAGACUUGUCCAAAAAGAAACGGAAGAGAAAGCGUGGGGAGACGCUCACGAAGGUGCAUAGUGAGAAGAGUAAGUCAAGAGACAGACUUGUUCGAAAAGAAACAGAAGAGAAUGCUUGGGGUUACACUCACGAAGGUGCAUAGUGAGAAGAGUAAGUCAAGAGACAGACUUGUUCGAAAAGAAACAAAAGAGAAUGCUUGGGGAGAUAGAAGUGUGAGAUAGUUCUCAAGCUAAGAAAGUUGUAAAAGCUAAGAACUAGCAUCAAAUGAUGGAUGAAACACAAGGUAGUUGUUGAAAAGUCAAACACUUGGUGAUAUGAACACAAACGUUCAAUAUGACAAACCCAUGCCAAGUAAAGAGAAAAUGAAAACUGGUGAUUGUUGCGGAAAUCGUCCAGGAUUCCUCGACCAGGACUUGAAAUCGUCGAGGGAAAAAAUCGGUUCCGAGGAAUCGUCGAUCCGGACUUGGAAUCGUCGAGAAAAGUUUACCGGGUCCGAGGAUUUGUCGAC
rnacentral:misc_RNA from 1 species